UGGCAAACCUGCUGAAAGGCAGAGACGCAAAGCUAUAGGGCCUUCGUCCUCGGACAUGGCAGCCAGUUGC
rnacentral:ncRNA from 1 species